UGCCCCGGAUGGCAGAGUGGUUAAUGCGCCUGCUUAUUAAGCAGGAGAUCCCGGGUUUGAAUCCCGGUCCGGUAC